GUGCUGGCAGUUUAAUACUUGGCGAAGUCAAAACAAUAACAGGUCAACGGGCCAAAUCGGCUGCAAGUCGGAGUUCUCCCGUUUCUCUCGAUUACCAAACCGCGUCUGUUUGAGGAGCUUUGUGCCAUGUCGAAAGUGAAAGUUUAGAGGUUCAGUAUUUAGACUCUUGUGAGCAGCAGAGAGAGUCAGAGAGGAGUGAACUCAGACUGUGAAGACACGCAGAGCUCGGGUGAUCAAUAACUCUCUCUGAAUGGGAAAUAAUCUCCUUUAAUAAUUCAUAACCAACUACGGGCAAAUCUUCAAAUACAGGAGUAACUGUCUGAGAAAUAACAACUGUUCCAGGAAAGAGAACAAGAAGAUCCUACAGCUGAUGAAAACAAACAGCUUUCACAUGUCGAGCAUUCAGAGUCAAGAAAAUCUCUCAUUCCAUGAACAGCAGUCAGAUGAGACCACAAGAAUCCUCCUCGAGUGUAAACAUGGCAGAUGAACCGUGGACUGAUUUAACAAAAGAAACACAGACAUCUUCAAUUCAUUUUAUUGCAAAUGUUUAUUGUGCAUUUACUGAUCAAUAUGAGCUUUUUCUGCACCUGCUAAUUAAUAUCUAUACUGUAAGGUGGCUGAUGCAAACAUUAAUAAUAUGGUAUAUUUUCAUAGCAAAUAGGAUUUAUAAUCAAAAUCCAAAAAACAAAACACUCCAUAUUUACUGAAACUAUAGAACAAAACAAUACACAUAAAUAUUAUAUGCAAAAAUAAAUAUGAGCACAAAUAAAGUAUAUUUAAAUAAAUGAUAAAUUAAAAUAAUUUUAUAAUAAAUAAAUAUAGUUUUGUCAUGCAAUCAAACCAUCAUUAAUGUAAUCUUUCGAUCACUGCUGUGCCAUUUGAGUCAAAGUGAUGACAGUCAGAUGUUUGUUUGAAUCAGGUCAAGUCAUCUUUAUUUCUAUAGUGCUUUAUACAAUACAGAUCGUUUUAAAUCAGUUUUACUGGCAUAAGAGACAGAAUCACUUCUCGUAUUAAAGAGUGAGAUGCUGCAUGGGCCACAGCAAAGAAAACAAAUAACCAUUUAGGACAUGAAGAAAUAAUUGUACAAAAUUAGUUAAGAACUUUAAAUGUGAUUAUUAUUUAAACAUGAUAAAUGAAAAUCUGAAUGAUAAACUAAAUUUUGGAAACUGACCAAAUCAGUCUCUGGGCUAAAAUCUUCGACAAGUUUGCCUGAAUAUUUAAAGGUUAAGGGAAGAAUUAUAAAGGGAAAAGAAAAUAUCGUUAAUGCCUUUAAUAGUAAUAUUAUUGUUGCUGGUUUAACUUCUGAUGUUUGUAAUUUAGCAGAACUUUUUAGUAGCACAAGUUCACAAAGCUCUAUUACAUUUAGAUCGUAAAAAAUCAGCAGGGCCGGAUAAUAUAGAGCCUUAUUUUUUAAAAGUUGUGGCAGAUUUCAUAGUGGAACCAGUUACUGCUAUGUUUAAUUUAAGUUUAACUUCAAAUAUAAUUCCACAUGCAUGGAAAUCAGCUAUGGUUCUGCCUUUGUUAAAAGGCGGUGACCCUUUUGAAUUAGACAAUUACAGACCUAUUUCAAGGCUAUCAGUUAUUGCGAAAUUAUUUGAAUCUCUUGUUAAUGACCAAAUAAAACAGUUUUUAAUGGAAAAUAAUAUAUUUUAUAUAAUGAACUUCAAUCAGGUUUCUGCUCAGCUCAUAGUGCUAUUACAGCUGCUAUGUUGACUACAAAUGUUAUUAUUACAUGCCUAGAUAAUAAACAGUACUGUGCUGCUCUAUUUGUUGAUCUAUCUAAAGCAUUUGAUUCUGUAGAUCACAAAAUCUUAUUGCAGAGACUCAGUUGCUUGGGUUUUAGUAAAUGAGUCUUAAUUGGUUCAAUAAUUAUCUGACAGAAAGAAUGCAGUGUGUCUCAGCUAAAAAUUUAAUGUCUACAGAAUUAAAAAUAAAUAAAGGAGUCCCACAGGAAUCUAUUUUAGCUCCUGUUUUAUUUUCACUUUAUAUAAAUUACCUAUAGGUCAAAAGAUAAACACGGCAAAAAUCCAUUUAUAUGCUGAUGACACAAUUAUUUACAGUUGCACGUCUGAAUCAAGCCAUAGAGCUGUUACAAGAUUCCUUUCUGUCACUGCAAUUUCCAUUGUUAAACUGAUAUUGGUUUUAAAUGCUAUCAAAUAUAUGGUCUUUACUCAUAGUCGUACCAAAAUAACGGUUCCACCUAUUCUAACCUUGGAAGGGAACUGUAUUGAAAGAGUAAAUAGUUAUAAAUAUUUGGGUUUAUGGCUUGAUGAACGGUUGGGUUUAAAUAUUCAUAUUGAAAAUCUUCUAAAAAAGCUCAGACCUAAAUUGGGUUUUCUUUUCGUAUUAAGAAGUGCUUUCCUUUUGAAGCAAAAAAAAAAAGAUUUAUCCAAAGUAGUUUCCUUUCAGUUUUGGACUAUGGUGAUGUGGUUUAUAUGCAUACAAACUUGUCCUUACUGAGGAAGUUGGAUAGUAAAUAUCAUGCUGCAAUACGAUUUGUGACAAAUACAUCUUCAUGUUCCCAUCACUGUACUUUGUACAAAAUAGUUGGUUGGUCAUCCUUGUUCCAAAGGAGAAAAAUGCGUAUGUUAUUAUUUACUGCCAAAGCAUUAUAAGGUAAACUGCCAACUUGUAUUUGUAAUCUUUUAUCAUAUUAUACUUGUAAUUAUAGCACUAGAAACUCUUACAAAUUACAUUUGGCUGUUCCUAGAGUAUGCUCUGAGUUUGGCAAACCUGCCUUUUUCUCCUUUGGUCCUAGACUAUGGAAUGAAAUGCAGAGUGUUAUGAUGUUAGAAACAAUUCCAUCUCUAAAUAUUUUUAGAAAUCUUUUGGAGUUCUACCUGGAAGUGAAAGUGUUUUAUGUAUUUUUUUAAUAUGAUGUUGGGUGAUAUUUUUAUUAUUUUUUGUUUUAUGUGUGUGUCUAAUCUGUAUGUGAAACUUUCUGUUCUGCCAUUUUGGCCAGGACUCCCUGGUAGAAGAGAUUUAUAUCUCUCUAUAUCUCUAUAUCUAAACAGCUCUUUAAGACAACAGUAAACAACCAGGACUCAAAUCAGUUCAUUGAUUCAGUUUGAUUCAGUAACUGUGUAAUGAGUUUCAUUUUUAGUUUUUCAGAUCUAGCUUCAUUCCUUUCAUUUCUCUGAACUGCUGCAGAGCUUCUGUUUCCUCUUUCCAGGAAAGUUUCGUAAUUUCAUCAUCAUCCAUUCACGCAAAAACAAUAAAACGAUUGACAGAGUGCUGACAGAUAUGUGUGGUGUGGUGGCUGGAGAAACCAUGAUGAUAUACGUGAAUGAAAUGAAUCAUAUAAAUAAGUCUUUAUGGUGUUUUCAUGCUGUUUGUUCUGAUUCACUAUGAACUGUGCAGAUACUGUAUAGCUUUAUCCUGUUGUUUCAUGGCAAAAUUAAUAGCAGAACUUUCACUUUUGAUUGAACUGUCUUGAUGUUUUAAUGUGUUACCAGGUUUUUCACUUCACUUCUGGCUCACCUGCUCUUUAUAAAUCAAAAAUCAUGCUGUGGAGUGCAGAGAGAAUCUCUCCAAAUUACAGAACCUGCUUUCAUUUAGAAAAUGAAAGUCAAAGAUAAGCAGUUUAAGUUUAUGUCCUUGUGUCACACAUUAAGAAAUUAGUGUGGAGUAAAACAUGCUCAAGGAGAAGACGUACAUCCGUUAAGUGCACAAUGAUUCUCUUAUAUUAAACAUUAACAACAUGACAGUAACCUUUAUUACAUACACUAAUCUUUAACCACUUCCAAUAGACACCUGAUUUUAACCUUUGUGACUUAAACACAUGCAUUACAGGAG
ensembl:lncRNA